AUCCCAAAAAUGCUUCACCCAGUCUUGAACUGCAUCUAUUGAGCUGGCGCUCGCUUAGGAAUCUGUGUGUUGGCACGGUUUAUCAGGAAGUCAGGCCACAAGUAUGCGCCUGCCUCCUUGCUGUGCAGACACUGCUGCAAUCCAGCUGCCCCGCCUCCCUAAGAAUCCAGAUACAGCUGUAUCUGAGAGAAAACACCACUGAGCUAAGCCAGCUCACCAGGCUCACAUACUUAGUCUAACUUCAAUUUAACAGUAACCAACAGAGCCUGACUGAGACUUUGGACUAAGUGGUCAUACUCUCCCUGGCAUUGAACUCCAUUAAUCGCCAUUGUGUUUGGUCUUCCCUGCCCACAUUCACCACCUAUUUUAGACAGCACAUGACUCUGACUCACGAAAAAAAAAAAGGAGUGAAGCCUGCACAAAAGGCUUGAAAGCUUGGCUCACACCCACUCCCUUGAGCAAGAUCCCUGAAACACUGGUGUCUCAGCAUCCAAGGCUGCAGUCCAUCCUCUGGGGAAGUCAGGGAAGGAACAGAAGCAGAGGCCUCAUAGAAAUCCUGCUUGCUGGCCUGCUCAUCUUGCUUUGCAAUGUAACCCAGGAUCACCUGCCAGGGCUGGCACCAUUCACAUCGAGAUUCCCCUUUCCAGAAGACUCUAACCUGUGUCAAGUUGAAAAUAGGGUCCUGAGUGGCAGUGCCUGCAAGAGCAUACAUGUGAAGCAGCAAAAUCUGAAACGGAAACUGGAAACUCACAGAGCCUGGGAGCCACAGCAGAUGCUGAGGACUCUGGGCUAUUCGCAUGAACUUAUGAAAAGGAAUUCCUUGUCCAGUGAGUCCCCUGGGGAGUCUGCUGGAGGUUGUUCGCUUAUUCUGAGCACCAAGUGAGUGUAGAGCAGGUCCUCUGCUGCUCCGGAUGAAACUAUCAGGGACUACACCCAUGUGUAAGUCUGGAAGUCUGAAAAGCCUCAAAUGUACCUGAAGUCUGGCCUCUAUGCUGUCAGUGUGCUCCCAUUUAAACAGCUACAGUUUCUGUGUAUCUUUCUCUGGAAGGCCCACUCAUUUUAAAAUGUAAAACUGCCCAG